rnacentral:rRNA from 1 species
GACGGAGGGUGCUAGCGUUGUUCGGAAUCACUGGGCGUAAAGGGCGCGUAGGCGGCGCGGCGUGUCGGCUUUGUGAAAGCCCGGGGCUCAACCCCGGAGGUGCGGCCGAAACUGCUGUGCUGGAGGCCGGAAGAGGAGGGUGGAAUACCCAGUGUAGAGGUGAAAUUCGUAGAUAUUGGGUGGAACACCGGUGGCGAAAGCGGCUCUCUGGUCCGGUCCUGACGCUGAGGCGCGAAAGCGUGGGGAGCAA